UACGUAGGGUGCGAGCGUUAAUCGGAAUUACUGGGCGUAAAGUGUGCGCAGGCGGCGUUGCAGGUCGAGUGUGAAAUCCCCGAGCUUAACUUGGGAAUUGCGCUCGAAACUACGAUGCUCGAGUGUGGCAGAGGAAGGUGGAAUUCCACGUGUAGCGGUGAAAUGCGUAGAGAUGUGGAGGAACACCGAUGGCGAAGGCAGCCUUCUGGGCCAACACUGACGCUCAUGCACGAAAGCGUGGGGAGCAAACAGG
rnacentral:rRNA from 1 species